UGUGUGCUAUGAAAGAUGAUCCGAUAAAAUUGGAACGAUACAUAGAAGAUUAGCAUGGCCCCUACACAAGGAUGAAACACACAAAUCGAGAAAUGGUCCAAAGCAAC
rnacentral:snRNA from 1 species